AACGAUGAUCCCCGCCUGGCUGAGGAUUAGUGGCGAACGGGUGAGUAACACGUGAGUAACCUGCCCUUAACUCUGGGAUAAGCCUUGGAAACGGGGUCUAAUACUGGAUAUUGACUUUUCCCCGCAUGGGGAAGGGUUGAAAGAUUUAUUGGUUUUGGAUGGACUCGCGGCCUAUCAGCUUGUUGGUGAGGUAAUGGCUCACCAAGGCGACGACGGGUAGCCGGCCUGAGAGGGUGACCGGCCACACUGGGACUGAGACACGGCCCAGACUCCUACGGGAGGCAGCAGUGGGGAAUAUUGCACAAUGGGCGAAAGCCUGAUGCAGCGACGCCGCGUGAGGGAUGACGGCCUUCGGGUUGUAACCUCUUCAG
rnacentral:rRNA from 1 species